rnacentral:rRNA from 1 species
AUUGAACGCUGGCGGCAGGCCUAACACAUGCAAGUCGAACGAGUGGCGGACGGGUGAGUAAUGUCUGGGAAACUGACUGAUGGAGGGGGAUAACUACUGGAAACGGUAGCUACUACCGCAUAACAUCAGAUGUGCCCAGAUGGGAGUAGCUUGUUGGUGGGGUAACGGCUCACCAAGGCGACGAUCCCUAGCUGGUCCGAGAGGAUGACCAGCCACACUGGGACUGAGGCACGGUCCAGACUCCUACGUGAGGCAGCAGUGGGGAAUAUUGCACAAUGGGCGCAAGCCUGAUGGAGCCAUGCCGCGUGUAUGAAGAAGGCCUUCGGGUUGUAAAGUACUUUCAUCGGGGAGGCGUUACCCGCAGAAGAAGCACCGGCUAACUCCGUGCCGGCAGCCGCGGUAAUUC